GUGAUUCUUCUGCCUCAGUCUCCCGAGUAGCUGGGACUACAGCUUACACUUGGCAAUCCUCUAGGGAGGACUUUGGCUGAACCCAGUGAACCAGGAGGAAAAGAAUCACAACGUCUGGAGUUUGUUGACUAGAAAAAUUCCCUGUGGUCUGACAGAUUACCAUUUCCCACCCAACCAUUCUCAUCAGAGAAACCAGUCCCAUUUUCAACUGGCACGGCUAGUUGAAAGUUCUGCAUGUUUCCCCAGUGCUAAUCUCUGGCUGCCUUCAUUUCUGGGUUCCAUCAAUUGAAGAGGAAAAGUAACAGAUUCUCCAAGUGCUCAGGUCUUAUCUUCUCAUGGUUGCAAGAUGGCUGUCGUAACUCCAGGCAUCACACUUCACACAACUACAUUCAAGAUGGAAAAAAAUAGUUUUCUUCUCACGUAUUUUCAUCAGAAGGAAGGCAUUUCAAAACCUCCUUAUCAGACUUCUAUGGGGCCAUUUCUCAGAAUCAGGUCACAUGAUCUGGCAGCAAGGACUGGGAAAAUGAGUAGAUGAUGGUACUUUAAUCUUCUAUAGUAAGAGAUGGUUUUGAUAGCAAGUGAUAUUUUGGAAUGUUAUGGUCUGUGGUAAGAAACCAGUGGUGUUUACCACAAUUAACUCUUUAAAUUUACCUUCUGGUCUUGAGCUCCAGACUCAUAUAACCAGUUGCUACUGGAAAUUUCUAUUUGGAAGACCCGCUAAUAUCUCAAAUUCAAUGUAUCUGCCCUUUCUCCCUGUCCCUGGCUCUUCUCCAUACUCCAUCUCAGGGAACAGCACCACCAUCUAUGCAGCUGUCAAGCCAAGAAUCUCGGUGUCAUCUUUGCCUCCUCUCUUUCUUAUCCUUUUUCAUCACCUUAUAUGAUUGCUUCCAUCACCUAAAGGCCCCUCACAUCCACCCACUUCUCUCCAUCUUUAUGUCCUCAUUGCCACUAUCCUGUGUUGUCCAUUUCUGAACUCCAGAACAGUGCUUAACUCAGAGCAGUAAGUCAAUCUGUGGGAUGGAUGUUUCCAAAUGGGAAACAAACAUUUUAAGAUAAACAAUGACUACUAUCUUGCCUUAUCAAUUAGCCUCUUUUCACCCAUUUUUUGUUGGGUGGGUGGAAGGCCAGAUGCAGCAGGGUGGGUUAUUGACAGAAGAGAAUUAUAAAGGAUAUAAAGUAUUUUAACUCUCUGUCGGUCCUAUACUAGCCUGUGUCUCUCUCCUUGUGCUCCCUUCAUAUUAAGAAACAGAGGAUGUUGUCCGGGAGGUCAUAAUAACCUAACUGAGUAAAAUUCUGAAAGCCAAUUUUCGAUUCCCAAGCGUAUUGGCUAUCUAGAAUUUCCAAGGAACUUGAUGUAUCAGGGUAAUGCAGAAAAGCAGGACCUCAAGCACCAGGGUUUUAUAGCACCUAUAAAACAUGUUUUACAGUUUCUGUUCAAUUUUAUGCUGUUAAGCUAAAUAUUUGACAUCAUAUGGCACUUCAAGCACAUUGAUUUAUGGUAAGUCAGCAAUUGCAUCUGUAAUAAAAAGUCCAAAGUAUGGGUUUUAAAAGUAAUCUACUGUAUUUAUUAUUGACAUAAACAGUUACCUGCAGUCCAUUUGAACAUCAUCUUAGGUUUAACUCAUGUAUUAAAGAUAUUAUGUUUUCCACUCAGCAAGGUCACCUUGAAGGUGAAAACUGUAUGUGGUUGAAAAUGAAAAAGAUUAAAUGUAUAAAGAUAAAUAUUUUGAAAAUAAAUGAUAUAUAGUA